CCUACGGGGGGCAGCAGUGAGGAAUAUUGGUCAAUGGGCGCGAGCCUGAACCAGCCAAGUCGCGUGAGGGAAGACGGUCCUAUGGAUUGUAAACCUCUUUUGUCGGGGAGCAAACGAAGCCACGCGUGGCGUUCCGAGAGUACCCGAAGAAAAAGCAUCGGCUAACUCCGUGCCAGCAGCCGCGGUAAUACGGAGGCUGCGCGCGUUAUCCGGAUUUCUUGGGUUUAAGGGGUGCGCAGGCGGAGGGUUAAGUCAGCGGUAAAAGUGCGGGGCUCAACCCCUUCGCGCCGUUGAAACUGGUUGUCUAGAGUGAGGGAGAAGUAUGCGGAAUGCGUGGUGUAGCGGUGAAAUGCAUAGAGAUCACGCAGAACGCCGAGUGCGAAGGCAGCAUACCGGCGCUCAACGGACGCUGAUGCACGAAAGUGUGGGGAUCGAACAGGAUUAGAUACCCCGGUAGUC
rnacentral:rRNA from 1 species